rnacentral:rRNA from 1 species
GAUGAACGCUGGCGGCGUGCCUAAUACAUGCAAGUCGAGCGAACGGACGAGAAGCUUGCGUCUCUGAUGUUAGCGGCGGACGGGUGAGUAACACGUGGAUAACCUACCUUUAAGACUGGGAUAACUUCGGGAAACCGGAGCUAAUACCGGAUAAUAUUUUGAACCGCAUGGUUCAAAAGUGAAAGACGGUCUUGCUGUCACUUAUAGAUGGAUCCGGGCUGCAUUAGCUAGUUGGUAAGGUAACGGCUGACCAAGGCAACGAUUCAUAGCCGACCUGAGAGGGUGAUCGGGCACACUGGAACUGAGAGACGGUCAAGAGUCCUACGGGAGGCAGCAGUAGGGAAUCUUCCGGAAUGGGCGAAAGCCUGACGGAGAAACGCCGCGUGAGUGAUGAAGGUCUUCGGAUCGUAAAACUCUGUUAUUAGGGAAGAACAUAUGUGUAAGUAACUGUGCAAAACUUGACGGUACCUAAACAGAAAGCCACGGCUAACUACGUG